GGGUGUAGCUCAGCUUGGUAGAGCGCCGUCUUUGGGUGGCGGAAGUCGGAGGUUCGAAUCCUCUCACCCUGA
rnacentral:tRNA from 1 species